rnacentral:lncRNA from 1 species
UGACAUUUUCCACCAAUUUCUACAAUUUACCAACAACACUUGUUUUUCGCUGACUAUGCUAAGGCCUUCCACUGCGUUUAAAGUAGUGAAAAGUAAAAUAUCAAAGGUUCAUACUUGACAACAUGAUUGACUUGUUUAAUUAUCUGAUAUAUGCAGUUGACAUAAAAUUGAAUAGAAAAGAAGCUUAUUCUAGCAAAAGAUCCAGGUUAGAUGUACAAAUCAUGCAAGUCAUUCUAGUACAGUCAAAAUAUCUUCGUAUAUAUAAAAUAAAUAUGUAAUAUUUUACACCAAAUAAAUAUAAGCACAUGUACUCUGAUACAGGUUUGAUAGAAAAUCAAGAAAGAAAAAAAUGAAUUCCCAUACUUGAGAGAUAGGUCUCCCCACUACUUCCUAACAAGAUUAUUUUAUUCAUACAACUCUCUUAACUGAAUUUUCCCACCUAAAAAACAAUUAUAAGGACUAAACUACCCUCCCAAGCCUCAUAAUCAUCGUCUCCUUAAAAACAUGGUUUACAGUUUUACAUACAUAUUGGUAACUAUGUUGCACAUAUACAUACAUAACUAAACAAGUUUUGGCAGUAUUACGCCUACAAUCUCUUGGUUGACUUGCCCCAACGAUUCAUGUAUGAAGCUUUAAUUAGAAAACAAAAAAUUUGAAGCACUAAUCAAAGAACUACAACUACAGAUUAAGGACUAAAUCAGUUAUUUAAAAAAAAACAAAAUCAAGAACCAUGUUAAGUUAACAUGGUUAUUUUUAUAGAUCAGACCAUACCUCUUCAUGAUUCCCCCGCUUGUUGUAAGCAACCAGAUUUCCGUUUAGUUUAGUGUAAAAGCCUCAAGUUGUGGUAUCAUACCUGCAUAUUCUACUAAAUCAAGCAUAAAUAUAAAUUAGAGACAAAAUAUGGUGGAAAAGGAAAAGAAAACAUAUAUUUGUAUAAUGACUUAAGUACCAUUCAACAAUGCACAAAUUAAUGAGCGAAUAAUCUAGAGAGAAAACAAUAUUUUAAAACACCUUAAGGAAGAGUACUUUAUGUUCAUCUAGGUUCUGGGUAUCCACAUUCAACAAAGCAAAGAAGGAUUCAUGAACCUUGAAAAAAGAUAAAAGUAAAUGUGACAGUCAAAUACCACAAACACUAAGGGGUUUACCUCAUCGUUGUUGGAGGCCCAAAGAUAAAAUAAUGGUAAGGGUUUAACCCUCGUUAUCUCUGACCAAUAUGUUCCAACCUAUUAAAUCAAAAAGAAAAAUCAUUGUGAAAUCAGAAGAAAAACAAAAACAAUAAAAUGCUUGAACAAAUGAGCCAACAGAAGUGGUUUCACCUCAGAUUAUGAGUAACUCAAUAUAAAAAAACGCAAAACUAAAAUGGAGAUGACUCCAUGCUUCUACAGUAGAGAUAGAGAGAAAUUCAAGUUUCUUUUUCAUAAACUUGAUUCGUCAAAAUCAAGAAAAUGUAGAAGGGAUAACCUAAAAUGGCUAUUAAAGAAUUAAAGUGUUAAUGUUCUUCUUUUUCAUUUUCCUGUUUAAUUAAGUAGCCAUCCAUCCUCUACGUACAACUCAUCACCUGCUUUAAGUAGCCAUCUAUCCUCUACAUACAACUCAUCACCUGCUUUAUUUCAUCAACAAUUAUGUUGACCUAAUAUUCAUUUGGAAGUGUGCUCUGGAAAUCUUAAAGCACUAUCCAAAUGUCACGACACACUAGAUUUAUGAAUAAUAUCCACUAUGGUAAAGGACUAACAAAGAAAGGAAACACCAUUGUCUAACUUAAAAGACAGACAAAAUACUGUGGAUAAAAAACACAAAAUAUCAUCUAUCAUCAUCAUACUCCUCUUUAUAAGAUCGAAAUUUAAAAUUAAAAAUAAAAUCAUAGUUCCCCUGUUUUAGGAUUAUUGAUUGGUGAGACGGAAACCAGGUCGUUCCAAAAAUCAAAACACACAUGUUCCAAAAAUCGUCUAACUUCAAAGACUAACAAAAAGAAUCAGAUUUGUCAAUCUAAAAGUAAUAAGCUUAAAUCUUGUAUGAUUGGGUCAACAAUUACACAGUUUACAAGCUAGACAUAUGAGUAAUUCCUGAAUUUUGUGGUACUUACCUCACAACAAGCAAUUGGGUGUAGCCGUUCUUUCUCCAGCUAUAUCUGAAAAUCGAAAUCCAACAAUUACAAAGUAAACAAUCUACUAUAAGGAACAAAGUUAAAAAAUGGAAGAAAUAAGAAAUCGAUUAAGCCAAUUUUUGUGUAAUCAUAUGAAAAAAGACAUUUUUUUCGUUUAGUUUUAUGUACAACCCUGAAAGACAAAGCAUUCUUUCAAACUUUUAGGGUUCACGAAUAGGGGAUGUGAAGAUGGCAUCAUGUAACAGGAGGACUUAUGGAGCAACGAGAAGUAGGUUAUCCACCUAUCUCCUCCUUCUCAGGGUGGGAGAGAUAACAUGAUCUUCAAUCCACCAAUUUCAAUUUCAAGGAUGACGAUCAUCUGUUAAAUGCACAAACAUAGUUAAAAAGAGGGUUAAUUUCGAACCAGAAUAUCAAAGGGUAAAAUAGUCACAUUUCAGUUUCAUGGACAAAUAUAAUGCAUGGAUGAGAAAAAGAUCCAUAUCGUAGAAAUCAAAAUCAAACUUGGGAAAAUAAAAUGUCAAGAACUAAAAUUUGUGAAAUCGGAAAACGAACCUGUUAUGUUGAUCAAGUGAGUGAAAGGAGAGGUGACGACGGUGAGGACCUUGCGCAUGUCACGUGAUGUCGUCGUUUUGGGUUUUUUAGAGGGACGGAGGUGGAGGAAGAGAAAAGUCGUUGGUGUGUGGUGGUGAGAUACAUGAUAUAGGGUUGGUUAC